rnacentral:rRNA from 1 species
CCGCGACCCCAGGUCAGACGGGAUUACCCGCUGAGUUUAAGCAUAUAAAUAAGCGGAGGAGAAGAAACUUACAAGGAUUCCCCUAGUAACGGC